AGUGUAGAUUCAGAGUUUGAUCCUGGCUCAGGACGAACGCUGGCGGCGUGCCUAAUACAUGCAAGUCGAGCGAACCGAUUAAAAGCUUGCUUUUAUGAGGUUAGCGGCGGACGGGUGAGUAACACGUGGGCAACCUGCCCUAUAGACUGGGAUAACUCGCGGAAACGCGUGCUAAUACCGGAUAAUACAAUGAAGUGCCUGCUUCAUUGUUGAAAGAUGGCUUUUGCUAUCACUAUAGGAUGGGCCCGCGGCGCAUUAGCUAGUUGGUGGGGUAACGGCCUACCAAAGCGACGAUGCGUAGCCGACCUGAGAGGGUGAUCGGCCACACUGGGACUGAGACACGGCCCAG
rnacentral:rRNA from 1 species